AUUUAAACCUGAUAGAAAUGGAAAUCCUUUUUAAUUUGCAACAGCCCUGAAUCUGCUGUCAUGCUGAGGGACGAAGCAUCUGUAACCGAUGAAACACGUGCUUCGCACUCCGGUAUAACAGUGCGUAUUAAAAAGAUUGGAAUGCAUAGCAGGGCUAUCG
rnacentral:sRNA from 1 species